UACGAAGGGGGCUAGCGUUGCUCGGAAUCACUGGGCGGAAAGGGUGCGUAGGCGGGUCUUUAAGUCAGGGGUGAAAUCCUGGAGCUCAACUCCAGAACUGCCUUUGAUACUGAAGAUCUUGAGUUCGGGAGAGGUGAGUGGAACUGCGAGUGUAGAGGUGAAAUUCGUAGAUAUUCGCAAGAACACCAGUGGCGAAGGCGGCUCACUGGCCCGAUACUGACGCUGAGGCACGAAAGCGUGGGGAGCGAACAGG
rnacentral:rRNA from 1 species